GGGAGCAAAUGUACCAAAGUUUUCAUUCAAGUUUUGUCCAUUUGAUAAACCGCCGGAAAUGGAUAUUAUGACAAGACCUCUACAAGAUAUGAUUGGAGUCAUUAGUCACGUGGGACCAUUUGAAUAUGCAAGCCCAACAUCUCAACAUAAACUCGAGAUAAUCAAAAUUCGAAACCUAGACGAACAAACACAAGAAAUACGUCUUUGGGGAAAGCAUGGCGAG